rnacentral:tRNA from 1 species
AGAUGGCCUGCCUAGUAAGCAGGAGAUCACGAGUUCGAGUCUCGUUGGGACCU